rnacentral:rRNA from 1 species
UACGGAGGAUCCGAGCGUUAUCCGGAUUUAUUGGGUUUAAAGGGUGCGCAGGCGGGAGAUUAAGUCGGCGGUGAAAUUUUGCAGCUCAACUGUAAAAGUGCCUUCGAAACUGGUUUCCUUGAGUGUAGAUGAAGUAGGCGGAAUUUGUGGUGUAGCGGUGAAUGCAUAGAUAUCACGAGGAACUCCGAUUGCGCAGGCAGCUUACUAAACUACUACUGACGCUCAGGCACGAAGGCGUGGGGAUCAAACAGGAUUAGAUACCCUGGUA